rnacentral:rRNA from 1 species
AGCGAACGCUGGCGGCAGGCCUAACACAUGCAAGUCGAACGGACCCUUCGGGGUUAGUGGCGGACGGGUGAGUAACACGUGGGAACGUGCCCUUUGGUUCGGAACAACACAGGGAAACUUGUGCUAAUACCGGAUAAGCCCCUUCGGGGGAAAGAUUUAUUGCCAUUGGAGCGGCCCGCGUUGGAUUAGGUAGUUGGUGAGGUAAAGGCUCACCAAGCCUGCGAUCCAUAGCUGGUCUGAGAGGAUGAUCAGCCACAUUGGGACUGAGACACGGCCCAAACUCCUACGGGAGGCAGCAGUGGGGAAUCUUGCGCAAUGGGCGAAAGCCUGACGCAGCCAUGCCGCGUGAAUGAUGAAGGUCUUAGGAUUGUAAAAUUCUUUCAGCGGGGACGAUAAUGACGGUACCUGAAGAAUAAGCAUCGGCUAACUCCGUG